AUAUGAAGGCGGGCUGGAACCUCUCGGGGUUACAGCCUUGCUGAAUUAUUCACCCUUGUCUUUUGCGUACUUCUUGUUUCCUUGGUGGGUUCGCCCACCACUAGGACAAACAUAAACCUUUUGUAAUUGCAAUCAGCGUCAGUAACAAAUUAAUAAUUACAACUUUCAACAACGGAUCUCUUGGUUCUGGCAUCGAUGAAGAACGCAGCGAAAUGCGAUAAGUAGUGUGAAUUGCAGAAUUCAGUGAAUCAUCGAAUCUUUGAACGCACAUUGCGCCCUUUGGUAUUCCAAAGGGCAUGCCUGUUCGAGCGUCAUUUGUACCCUCAAGCUUUGCUUGGUGUUGGGCGUCUUGUCUCUAGCUUUGCUGGAGACUCGCCUUAAAGUAAUUGGCAGCCGGCCUACUGGUUUCGGAGCGCAGCACAAGUCGCACUCUCUAUCAGCAAAGGUCUAGCAUCCAUUAAGCCUUUUUUUCAACUUUUGACCUCGGAUCAGGUAGGGAUACCCGCUGAACUUAAGCAUAUCAAUAAGCGGAG
rnacentral:rRNA from 1 species